GUCUAUGGCUAUACCACCCUGAACUCGCCUGAUCUCAUCUGUUCUAGGAAGAUAAACAGGGUAGGGCCUGGUUAGUACUUGGAUGGAGGCCUUUAAGAAUAUACAAGAUUUCUAAUAGUUU
ensembl:rRNA 5S_rRNA 5S ribosomal RNA